GUUAGUCCAACCUGCCAGACAAUGGCUUUCUCCCACUCCAUGGAAUAUUUUUUCUCUCCUGAUUAGAAAGAGAGUCUCGAUUCUCCUUAUCUUUAAAAUGAAAAGAUUGGGCUAACUGAUUUCCAGGUUCUCCUGAAGCGCCAAGAUUUUAUGAUAUUAAAAUGUCACCAGGAUUCUGGACAAAGAUGGGGCAGAUAUCACAUCUUGCUGGGGAUUAUACUCUUCUCAUAGCAGGGGCUGGCCAAGAGAAAACUGAAUUCAGCAACUUACAAGAUAAAAAAUCAGACGAAAAACAAGACAGUUUCUAAUCAGCGACCCAACUCCCAUUCUCGUGGAACUGUUAGGCAGGAAAGGGAGUGUGAAACAAAUAUCCGACUGGUUGAUAGAGCCGUGCUUUCUUGAAGGCAGAAAAACUUAAUCCCAAGCCUCUCCUACAGUGUUCUAGUUAUUCUAUUUCUCUGUGACUGGAAGCUCAGAAUUCUGAUUUGUCGGUUUCCUGGGUACCAUGUGAAUGUUGUCCGUGGAGACGCCGCAG